GUUCAAUGUCAUUGAUUCAUUCGACGACGAAGACGAAGGUGACAACCGCGAUGGAGUUAUCUGACUCGAGACCGGACAAUUAUUAUUACAAGAAAAUGGAGCCCAUUUUCCGCUUUGAGAAGGACUCAACGUCAGAGUUGACCCCUCCAUAAAGGUAGUGGUCUCUGCCACUGCCCUGGUAAAGAACUCCGAACUGGUGCGCUCUGAGGCGAGGGCUAGAAGAAGGGAGGUGACCCCACCAACCACCGGCCAGCAAGCUGCAGCUCGGCCAGUGCAGGGGUCAGACAUUCCAGUGGCUACUCGGCAACGACGUGGGAUACGCUGUGACCAUCAUUGUAUCCCACAAGGGAGAGAGAGAAGCAGGGGGCAAACCUGAAGAGGUAUGUGCUGACCAGGGAUGUGGAAAAGGCAGCCCAAGCAGCACAACCGCUCCUGGGCACUGUCGGUCCACCUGUUGAUGAGGGUCCAUCGGAUGCCACUCUUCUCGCUGCCGCCAUGGAGGUUGACUCGUGCAGGCAUGCCCCACCAGCCGUGACCCCUUCUCCCUCUCCCAGCCACCAGAACGUCCCCUUCUGGACACACCAGCCUCUGGCGCUCAGAGUUUGUCUUCCACAGAUUUUUUUUUCUAGCAAGACCACCCUUGUCAGUCACUCCGCAUUACUCCCGGCAGAGACAGGUGUCUUGUCCUACUAACACCCCACCCGUGGCCUGCACCUUGACGUGGUUGACAGGCCUCAAUGAACAGUGGACAGUGAGACGGUGCUAGACAGUGGUCUACCUUUGGACUUGCACCAACGAGACAUGGACACUGAAACUUGAUUUCUCUUAAUGAAUAUCUUUACAAGAUGCAACACACAUUGUAAAACGCUUUACACACUAAUAAACAUGUCAACCGUUGUUUUCUCUGGAAUUGAUUUGUUUGAUAUUGGUGGUAAUGGAUUUCCAGAUGUAUGGACAAGCUACAUUUUACAUGAAUAGCUAACUAAUCAAUGCAAUAAUAAUGUUCCCUUUGAUUUCAGAUUUUUAGCAUGAGAAAUGCAAAUGAUUUAAGUUUCCACUGUGGUAUACCCCCAUGAUUAGUCAUAGUCAUGUUUUGGUAAAUCCAACAUGUAGUAGGUUUUUUUCCACAUAAUUACUAGGCUGUUGCCUUAUCUAUCCAG